AUUGAACGCUGGCGGCAGGCCUAACACAUGCCAGUCGAACGGUAACAGGAAGCAGCUUGCUGCUUUGCUGACGAGUGGCGGACGGGUGAGUAAUGUCUGGGAAACUGCCCGAUGGAGGGGGAUAACUACUGGAAACGGUAGCUAAUACCGCAUAACGUCGCAAGACCAAAGAGGGGGACCUUAGGGCCUCUUGCCAUCGGAUGUGCCCAGAUGGGAUUAGCUAGUAGGUGGGGUAACGGCUCACCUAGGCGACGAUCCCUAGCUGGUCUGAGAGGAUGACCAGCCACACUGGAACUGAGACACGGUCCAGACUCCUACGGGAGGCAGCAGUGGGGAAUAUUGCGCAAUGGGCGCAAGCCUGAUGCAGCCAUGCCGCGUGUAUGAAGAAGGCCUUCGGGUUGUAAAGUACGUUCAGCGGGGAGGAAAGGAGUAAAGUUAGUACCUUUACUCAUUGACGUUACCCGCAGAAGAAGCACCGGCUAACUCCGUG
rnacentral:rRNA from 1 species